UACGUAGGGGGGCAAGCGUUGUCCGGAAUUAUUGGGCGUAAAGAGCUCGUAGGCGGCUUGUCGCGUCGACUGUGAAAACCCGUGGCUCAACCAUGUGGUCUGCAGUCGAUACGGGCAGGCUAGAAUUCGGUAGGGGAGACUGGAAUUCCUGGUGUAGCGGUGAAAUGCGUAGAUAUCAGGAGGAACACCUGUGGUGUAGACAGCUUACUGGACCACUUCUGACGCUGAGACACGAAAGCGUGGGUAGCAAACAGG
rnacentral:rRNA from 1 species